GGUAGGAUGGCUGAGUGCCCAAGCGGUGGAUUGUAACCCCACAAACAGAGGUUCAAAUCCUCUUCUUAUCA
rnacentral:tRNA from 1 species